AGCCCACCUGGCAAUAUUCUAAAAGUGGAACGAUACACAGAAAAUUAGCAUGGCCCCUGCGCAACAAUAACGCUCAAAAUCGUGAAGCGUUUCACAAUUUU